rnacentral:rRNA from 1 species
UACGUAGGUGGCAAGCGUUGUCCGGAUUUACUGGGCGUAAAGCGUGCGUAGGUGGUUCGUUGUGUCUGUGGUGAAAGCCCCGGGCUUAACCUGGGAAUGGCCAUGGAAACUGGCGAGCUGGAGUCUGGCAGAGGGGGGUGGAAUUCCGCGUGUAGCAGUGAAAUGCGUAGAGAUGCGGAGGAACACCGAUGGCGAAGGCAGCCCCCUGGGCUAAGACUGACGCUGAGGCACGAAAGCGUGGGGAGCAAACAGG